GGGCGAAAGCCUGACCGAGCACGCCGCGUGAGUGAUGACGGCCUUACGGUUGUAAAACUCUGUGAUCCGGGACAAAAAGGCCGAGUGCGAAGAACAAACUGCAUUACGGUACCGGAAAGCAAGCCACGGCUAACUACGUGCCAGCAGCCGCGGUAAUACGUACGUGGCUAGCGUGUUCGGAAUGAUUGGGCGUAAACCGCGCCAGGCGGCUUCCCAAUUCCCUCUUAAAAGUGCGGGGCUUAACCACCUGAUGGGAGGAGACUGGGGACUGGAGUAUCGGAUAGGAAAGUGGAAUUCCUAUUGUAGCGGUGUAAUGCGUAAGAUUAGGAACAACACCGGUUGGCGAAGGCGGAAUUUCUGGGACCAAAACCGACGCCGAGGCCCCAAAGCCUUGGGAACCAACAUGAAUAAAUACCCCUGGUACUCACGCCGUAGACGAUGGAUACUAGGGUGU
rnacentral:rRNA from 1 species